rnacentral:lncRNA from 1 species
AAACAUAGCCUAUCGAAGGGAAGAUGGCUGUGAAACUCAUUAGAACAACAAUGUAACUCAUUAUCUAUGUUGGUCAACGUCUAUUCAUAAAUCUGGUCCUUCACCGUCACGUGUGUAUUGUAUUUUUGCCCAACUAACCAAUAGCAAUGUUUUAGGAAAGUCACCUAUCCGUGACUCAAACAAUAGGGAAACCGGAAAUUGCUAUUGGUGGAUUUGGUAAAAAUACAAUACACACGUGACGGUGAAACGACC